GAACGCUGGCGGCGUGCCUAAUACAUGCAAGUUGAGCGCUGAAGGUUGGUACUUGUACCAACUGGAUGAGCAGCGAACGGGUGAGUAACGCGUGGGGAAUCUGCCUUUGAGCGGGGGACAACAUUUGGAAACGAAUGCUAAUACCGCAUAAAAACUUUAAACACAAGUUUUAAGUUUGAAAGAUGCAAUUGCAUCACUCAAAGAUGAUCCCGCGUUGUAUUAGCUAGUUGGUGAGGUAAAGGCUCACCAAGGCGAUGAUACAUAGCCGACCUGAGAGGGUGAUCGGCCACAUUGGGACUGAGACACGGCCCAAACUCCUACGGGAGG
rnacentral:rRNA from 1 species